UACGUAGGGAGCAAGCGUUGUCCGGAAUCAUUGGGCGUAAAGAGCUCGUAGGCGGUUUGUCGCGUCUGCCGUGAAAGUCCGGGGCUCAACUGCGGGCUUGCAGCCGAUACGGGCAGGCUAGAGUUCGGUAGGGGAGACUGGAAUUCCUGGUGUAGCGGUGAAAUGCGCAGAUAUCAGGAAGAACACCGGUGGCGAAGGCGGCUCUCUGGGCCUUACCUGACGCUGAGGAGCGAAAGCGUGGGUAGCGAACAGG
rnacentral:rRNA from 1 species